GCCGCCGUUCCAAGGUCGCAGCCCCGAUGCCGCCAGAGAGUCUGACGCCCCGACGCGGCCGCCCCGCGUCGAGGCCCCCCGCCGAUGCCCCGACGCCACUGUCCCCGCCGUCCAUACAGGAAGCUGCCGCCUCCCCGACUUGAACACGGAGCAGGACACCGCUGCCGCCUCUCCGACCUGACUAGCACACGGCAUCCCCAACCUGACUAACCCUCGCGCCACUUGAGUUUUCCUUAUACAGGUGUGUCUUUAACCUUUGACCCUUUGUGAAGGCCUGGAGGGGUAUUUCUGUAAAGGUGCGGUUUGAUCUUACAUUGUUAUGCUUAAAGUACUACUGCAAAAAGCUUGUUAUUGAGAUUGUCAGCCUUUGGAGUUUACAAACGUAGGAUGCAGAAAUGACUUUAAAGUACUACGGCAAAACAGCAAAAGGCUGGUCCAUGGUUGGCGCUUGGGACAAGACAUACUUGCAGCUGCUAUGUUGUGAGAGAUUACUUUUCUGUGUUUGUGAGGUGAUUGUGAGUAAUUUAAUUUGCUGUGAUUCAGUGCACUAGCUUAAAGGGCUCAUCAAAAUGUUCUGUGAUAGAUUCUUACUUUAUUCUUUGAUGGAAGUGUCUUUCACUUUAAUGGAUGCCCAUCUGUUUCGUUGAUUGAUUCAAUAAUGAUUGUUGAAUUGUAAACUUUCUUAUUUUUUCUGUCCUCUCUGCUGAUCAGUACAUCCUUUCUAACGGUGGCUACUUAUUCCUUGAUUAGCUUGCGCACCAGCGUUUCCUAGCUCUGCUUCGGAUUCCAGGUUACUUGUGGCAAAUGGGACCUAUGCACUAACUGUUGGUAACUGUGUGGAGUGCAGUUGUGGGCCAGCAAAUCUCAAUUUGUACUGCACGCCAGCGCCAGCUUCGUUAACAGCAUCAUGUUCAAGUAUGCAAUGCCCCAAUAGCAGCCUAAUCGUUGGUAAUAUGACUGCACAACCCACCAGUGGUGGCUGCAGUGUCAUGGUAGGAGGCAAUUCCUGAAGAAAUGCUAGGAAGGACGCUUGAAGGUUGCAGGCUGGAAGAAAAGUUUUCAUGCAAGCUUAUGUGUUUUGUUUUAUUUUGAAGUUCCUGGAGAUGAAUAAUUUGCACACAAACUUAGUGGCUGCUGCGAGCCUGGUAGUAGUGAAGUGUGAUACUUUGGUCUGUAAUGGUAGACGCAUGUGGAAAUAUUGAUUAUUUGCUCAUAGGUGCAGACCUGAUGGCUGUGAGUCAGGUCAAUUUUUAGUGUUGUAAUGUUCAAUGUGACAUUAUAUUGUACUAGCUAGCUCAUGCAUGUAUGGAUGACUUAAUAUUAAUGUUAUAUGCUCAUUUUCAAUGAA